rnacentral:rRNA from 1 species
AACGAACGCUGGCGGCAUGCCUAACACAUGCAAGUCGAACGAGACCUUCGGGUCUAGUGGCGCACGGGUGCGUAACGCGUGGGAAUCUGCCCUUGGGUCCGGAAUAACUCAGAGAAAUUUGAGCUAAUACCGGAUGAUGACGUAAGUCCAAAGAUUUAUCGCCCAGGGAUGAGCCCGCGUAGGAUUAGCUAGUUGGUGAGGUAAAGGCUCACCAAGGCGACGAUCCUUAGCGGUCUGAGAGGAUGAUCAGCCACACUGGGACUGAGACACGGCCCAGACUCCUACGGGAGGCAGCAGUGGGGAAUAUUGGACAAUGGGCGAAAGCCUGAUCCAGCAAUGCCGCGUGAGUGAU